CGGCGCGGGAAUUCGAUUAUUCGUCGACAACAGAGUCUGAUCCUGGCUCAGAACGAACGCUGGCGGCAGGCUUAAUACAUGCAAGUCGAACGGCUGUAGCAAUACAGCAGUGGCAGACGGGUGAGUAACACGUGGGAACCUACCUAGGGGUACGGAAUAACUCAGGGAAACUUGUGCUAAUACCGUAUACGACCUCAGGGUGAAAGAUUUAUCGCCCCUAGAUGGGCCCGCGCUGGAUUAGCUAGUUGGUGGGGUAAAAGCCUACCAAGGCGACGAUCCAUAGCUGGUCUGAGAGGAUGAUCAGCCACACUGGGACUGAGACACGGCCCAGACUCCUACGGGAGGCAGCAGUAGGGAAUCUUGGACAAUGGGCGAAAGCCUGAUCCAGCCAUGCCGCGUGAGUGAUGAAGGCCUUANGGUUGUAAAGCUCUUUCGCCAGGGAAGAUAAUGACGGUACCUGGAUAAUAAGCCCCGGCUAACUUCGUGCCAGCAGCCGCGGUAAUACGAAGGGGGCUANCGUUGUUCGGAAUUACUGGGCGUAAAGCGCACGUAGGCGGCAUUCCAAGUUGGAGGUGAAAUCCCCGGGCUUAACC
rnacentral:rRNA from 1 species